GACGAACGCUGGCGGCGUGCUUAACACAUGCAAGUCGAACGGAAAGGCCUCUUUCGGGGGGUACUCGAGUGGCGAGCGGGUGAGUAACACGUGAGUAACCUGCCCUUGACUUUGGGAUAACUUCAGGAAACUGGGGCUAAUACCGGAUAGGAGCUCCUGCUGCAUGGUGGGGGUUGGAAAGUUUCGGCGGUUGGGGAUGGACUCGCGGCUUAUCAGCUUGUUGGUGGGGUGGUGGCUUACCAAGGCUUUGACGGGUAGCCGGCCUGAGAGGGUGACCGGCCACAUUGGGACUGAGAUACGGCCCAGACUCCUACGGGAGGCAGCAGUGGGGAAUAUUGCACAAUGGGUGGAAGCCUGAUGCAGCAACGCCGUGUGCGGGAUGACGGCCUUCGGGUUGUAAACCGCUUUCGCUCAUGACGAAGCUUUGUGUGACGGUAGUGGGUAAAGAAGCACCGGCUAACUACGU
rnacentral:rRNA from 1 species